UCUCGCGUCAGGAUAUGCCUAGGUGGGAUUAGCUAGUUGGUGAGGUAAGGGCUCACCAAGGCGACGAUCCCUAGCUGGUCUGAGAGGAUGAUCAGCCACACUGGAACUGAGACACGGUCCAGACUCCUACGGGAGGCAGCAGUGGGGAAUAUUGCACAAUGGGCGCAAGCCUGAUGCAGCCAUGCCGCGUGUGUGAAGAAGGCCUUCGGGUUGUAAAGCACUUUCAGUCGUGAGGAAGGUAGUGUCGUUAAUAGCGGCAUUACUUGACGUUAGCGACAGAAGAAGCACCGGCUAACUCCGUGCCAGCAGCCGCGGUAAUACGGAGGGUGCGAGCGUUAAUCGGAAUUACUGGGCGUAAAGCGCAUGCAGGUGGUUUGUUAAGUCAGAUGUGAAAGCCCGGGGCUCAACCUCGGAAUAGCAUUUGAAACUGGCAGACUAGAGUACUGUAGAGGGGGGUAGAAUUUCA
rnacentral:rRNA from 1 species